GGGGAGGGGGAGGGGGAAGAGAGAGAGAGAGAGACAGAGAGAGAGAGAGAACGAGCUAAGGAUGAGCUCAGCAAUGAGCACACCUCACACACCAGUGCCUUCCAAAUACCACUGUCCACUAGAAGAACCAUUCUCCUUGGAGAAAUGCUAAGAAAAGUACAAGAUGAGCCUAAGAUAUCCUACAAGAAAGGAAGGAAUUCUCAAAGAAUAGUAGAAACAAA
rnacentral:lncRNA from 1 species